UUUCUGUGCUGAACUAUUGUUCAUCGUACUUUUUCUGGUUACGAAGACCAUUAGAGAGCUAUUUUACUGUAUUAUUUUGAGCUUUCAUUCAUGUAAACAAGAAUAGUUGAACAUUUCCUGACAACUUAUUGCUGCCGUUAUGCAGCAACACUAUUCAGGUUGUGUGUUGCCCGUUGCCCAGUCAUAUCUGCCCAGUUAGUAGAUGGAUCUUUGGAUCCAUGGUUUUUCGCCUCGAUUGCAUGUUCGUCCUCCAUAUAUGGAACCUCUACUACUACUCGUCAAUAUUCCAUAUAUGGAAAUCCUCGCAAUCCCGAGUAAUUUCGCAAGUUGUCGAUAGCGUCCGAGUAGUUUUCCAACAACGUGCUGUGUCAGCGUAGAUUUCAACUUUUUGUUGGAGGAUUUUUGGUGAAGAAAGAGCAAGAUUUAUAUCAAGAAAGGAAGCUUUUUUACAGGUCAAAUUGGAGGAAAUUACGGGACCACAUUCCAUCAUGCUACUAAACGUGUGCAGUCAUUUUCAUCACCUUCGAAUCUCUAUUUGAGCUUUCAUAAACCCAGUUUGGGUAAAAAUUAUCUCCUUUGCGGGAUCAAUGAACCCAGUUUGGACGGCGUACAUGAAAUCGAAAGUCGUGCAAUUCGUACUUCGCACAGUGUUGACGAGAACGAAAUAAGCUUAGAUACUUGUGCUGAAUACACAACUUUGGAAGCUAUAGUAACAUUUAAGACCCAUAAUGAAUUGGAACAUAAAAGUUUUUCUACGGAUCCCUGUGAUUUGUUAUCAUAUAGAAGUUCUGUUCGAAAACUUGCUACUGUAGGUCAAAACAACACAAUGCCGAAAGAGACCGUGAACCAUCCCGCUAUAGGAAGAAAAAACUUAUACACGUUUUAAACAAAAGACGACAGAGACACAAAUGUAAAGCCUCACUCAGAAAAACCAUACCGAAAUCUUCUACGAUUUACUUAUUCAUCACAAACUACAAGCAACUUUUUGUUGAUUUUAUCUACAGAAAGGAGUGUUUUUUUAGCAGAUUUUGUGUAAUGAUUAGAAGGAAACAGCAUGCUGCUUCAAAUGGAAAAGCAAAAUAUAUGACAUACACGUAUCUUUAGUAAUACUGAUCAAAUGCUUCCAAAGAAAUAUAAAAGUUUGAGUGGAGGGAUGAUCCUUCAAUCCUUCAAUCCAAGACUUCUCCAUGGCAAAUAUUAACUAGAAAACUGACUCUUGUUGGCCUACAACCAUUGGAUGUUGGUGGUUCAGGUGCCUGCUUCUUUCAAGCUUUUAGUUUUCAAUUGUUUGGCAAACCAGAUUUGCACUAUGACAUUCGUUUGGCAGGAAUUGCACAUUUGAAUGAUCACCCAGAGCUCUAUGUUGAAAGCAUUUUUGACAAUAAUUGGCAAAGUUAUAUCCAAGAAAUGUCUAAACCACACACUUGGUGUGAUAAUAUAAUCAUUCAAACAGUAGCUAAUGCUUUCAAUCUCAUAAUUCAUAUUACCGACUCUAACCCAAAUGCAUCACAAGCAACUAUUACAACACCAGAUGGGUCACCACAAGGAAUGAGGACUAUAUUUUUGGGAUAUAUUAACAAUUUGCAUUAUGUAGCUGCAGUACCAAUUGCAAAUGCAGAACACAGAAAUGCACUUAGAGGCUUAAAAAGAAAGCUAAACUGUUUAUGUGAGGGAAGUGAUAGUAAAGAAAGAAGAUUAGAUAAACAAAGAAAGCAAUAACAUAUAAAUAGAUCAUGUGAAUCUAAGCAAGAUGCACAAAAAAGAAUUGCAAAAAGACAAGAAUUUUAUCAUACUAGAAAGUUAAAUAAAGCAGAAGAAAAAUCUAAAACUGGGCAAUUCCACCAUCACGGACGUUACAUUCAGACACAAUUUUCCAUGUUAAACCUUAUGAAAAAAGUAUUUUAACACAAUUUAUUUGGCUUUACUUUAAUACAUAAAUGGAUCAGCAUUAAUGUAUUACAUGAGUAGUAGACAUUCCCAAAAUUUCCUUUUUGGUGACAGAAAAAUAGACAGGACAAUUAAUGUCACAGACGUUACAUGAAAACAACCAAUAUUCUAUUACAUUCAGAUAAAACCUCGAUUCCUGUGAACUUUCAAUCUUUUUCAUAAAAAAAAAACACAGCAGAAGUGUCUAGCCUGGGUAACAUGCUUGCUAACUAUAAAGUUAUUUUUUUGAUUUUUUUAUUACUAAUUCAGCAGCUUUUGUUAAGUGUUGUCACAGACGUUACAAUGAAUGUCACAGACGUUACAGCAUGUGAUUUUUAACCAAAAUUUGGCGUUCUGUUUACUUUUACUGCUUUAGCUUAAGAAUAUGUGAUACAAUUGGAGCAUUUAGUUAUCAUAAAUGACAGCCAUAUUUGUGUUCAGCAGUUCUGACCUUUUGCUCAUGCACCUGAGCAUGGUACUCAGGGGAAUACUCAAAAUGAAUCCAUUCAAAAAAUCCCUAAGUGGAGCAGAAAGAAACCGAAAGUACAGGAACAAAAUUAGAGCAAAUCCAGCUAAACCUGCAGCGUAUAAAGCUAAAGAUAGGCAAAGGAAAUGCGAGAGUCGAAAAAAGACUUUGAGUCCACUGGAGGCCGGAAGGCAGAGAAUCAAAGGCAGAGAAAGAGUGAGGUUACAUCAAUUAUUGAAAAAGCAAGCUGCCAAAGGAAUUUCUACUCCAGUUCAGCAUAAUUUAAAUGACAUCAAGGCUGCUUACAAGACCCCCAAGCAUUAGGAAAAGUAGUUCACAAGGUGACACCACAUCUCCCACACAGCCCUAGAAAAAGAAGUGCAGUUGUUUGAAAACUUGCAAAAUCUGCUGGUGUGUCAUUGAAAGAGCAGAAAUCAUGCAGUUCAGGCAACAACAAAAUCGAUGAGUUUACAGUUAAAAGCGUAUAGAAGUUCUAUUUUUUGGACUCAAUCUCCCGUCAGGCCCCAGGAUGGCGUGAAUUUGUAAUCGUCAGAAAGGAUGGCAAGAAAUCCAAACUUCAAAAGAGACAUUUGAUAUGGUCUUUAAAAGAAACAUUUGGAUUGUUUCAGACAGAGCAUCCUAGUAUAAAGAUAGGUCUAAGUAAAUUUAGUUCACUGCGGCCAGUUAAUGUUUUGCUGCAGUCCUCAAUGCCAAGAGAAGUCUGUCUUUGCAUGCACCAUGAGAAUGUGAAGUGUCUUUGUGAUUGUCUCAGUAAGGAGCUUUCCAGCUUUGCAGCAUAUUCUGGAUCAUUUGUCGACCAAUUUGUUUGUGACAGUGGCAAAGAGGAUUGCAUGAUUCCAUUCCAUUCAUUUAUUUAUCCAUUCACUUGAUACAUUUUCUAUGUAAUUACAUUGAAUUUAUAUGCAAAUGGAAAGGAUUCUAAAGGAAGCAAAGCUUGUAAUUAUAGGAUCCUUUUAUAGUUUUCAGAGUUUUCAAAGUUGUUUUUUAUUUGGCUCUUAAGAUGUGAUUAACACAGUACACUUUUUUAAAUCAUUACAUGUCAUUGGUGAUCAAGUAUAACUAUGCUGAUUAUAAAUCACAAGCAAUCAUCCAGUUAUUUUAUCAAACAUUAUGAAUCAUGCCCCAGGUCAUCAAUAAGCUGUUUCCGUAUGCUCGUUUUGAAAGAUGGAAUGCUUGGUUUUGAUUUUAUUUCAGAAUUCAAAUUGUUCCACAGCUUUUUCCCUAUAUAAGAAAUGGAUUGCUGUCCAAAUGAAGUUUUUUUGAAUUUAAUGUAAAGAUUAUUUGAAGUUCGGGUACUGUAAGAAUGUGACUGUUUCAUUUUUUAAAAUAGUGACCAAAAUGUUUGGUAAUAUACCGUGAGUUAACCUAUACAUAAAAGUAGCUGUCUCCAAGUAGUGGAUCUCGUCUAUUCUUGAAAUGUUCAGAUUUUUAAAAAUUGGCUUCAUAUGGGCUAGGAAAUGUGAAUAUGAAAUAAUUCUAACUGGGGAAAUGUGUCGACUGUCCCAAGUGGCUGGAUGGCAUUAAAGAAGAUGCCCCUUUAGAUGAUGUUGUAAAGUGGAGUCAAUGGGAAAGGGUUACUAACACUAUAGACACAAAACAGGGCAAGCCUAAAAAUGUAACAAAAAUGCAGAAAACAAUCAAGGAGGGAACUGUAGAAGAGGCCCUAUAUUGUCUGAGUGAGAAAAUCCCUAGCUUUUUAAAGCAUGUGUUCAUCAAGAGGAAGCAAUCAGCCUUUUUUGAAGACUGUAUUGCCAACUUAAAUGAAAAUGAAGCAGUUGUACAUUUAGAUUUCUCAGAAAAUUAAACAUGCCAGCACCAGGAUGAAAUCCAACCAGCGCAUUGAUGCCAAGAACAGGUGACAUUGUUCGCAGUAGCCAUAUGGACAAAAGAUUCAGCCAACACUGACACAACCUGUAACUCCCAUGUUAUAGUCACCGAUGAUCACAACCAUGACAAGCAAUCAAUAACAGUCUUCAUGGACUAUACUAUUAAUACUUUGUUAAAAGAGAUGUUCCCACAGGUUGCAAGUGUUGAUAUCUUUUCAGAUGGUCCCAGCUCCCAAUUUAAAAACAGGUACAUGGCAAACUUUUACCAAACACUGCAACAAAACAGCGUCAAGAUCAAUUGGCAUUUUUUCGCAUCAUCGCAUGGAAAAGGGGUAGUCGAUAGAUUAGGAGGGACUGUCAAAAGGGUCGUGUGGACAGCAGUGUCUAGAUGACACAGAUGAAAGUGCCAAGAGUGGGGAAUGCUGAGGAAUUUGCCAAAGUUGCUAAUGUAAUGUAUACUGCCAUCUCUACUCAUCUUUUUCUCAAGGCAGAUAUAAUCAAAGCUAGCAUCAAACUUGGGCUUGAUAAUUGCUUUCUAGAGGCAAAGCCUAUACCUGGUAUAGCAAAGAUCCAUUGCUUGGAGCCGAGUGAGGGACCUAGUCUGCACUGUCGCCUAUAAUCAAGUCAAUGUUCUGCCCAUAAAGUGAUCCAUUUGCAUGGGAAUCAAGAUAUAUCUUGGGGUGAGAGUUCAGCUGAUGAGAGUGGUGGAAGUGUGGCCACUGAUGAAAGCAGCGAGGAUAGUGAUACAGAGAGUGACAUGGACAGGGUCAUAGAUAGUGACUUGGAGAUAUGUGAAAUGGAUGAGGACGGUGACUCUACUCAUCAUAGCAAUGAUGAUACUCUUUCUCAAGGCAGCGGUGGUGAUAUCCUGAUUCAGCUUGGGUUGCCGAAAGAGAUUAAGAACAAUCUAAAGGAACAUUGUACAGAAUUUGAGUGUAACCCAUGUACUAGUACCCUGGUACAGCUGAUAAUAGGUGAGGGAGUUGCAUUUGAGGGUGACCCAUUAAUCAAUAUGCAGGACCUGAAGGAAGUGGAGGGAAAACUGCCUAAAGAUAAGAUGAAAUGGCACUCAAAUUUUGUGAUUGACUCCUAUCAAAAGUGAAAGCACUAAUGUGGAGGUAUUUGGAUGGGAGGAAUUUGAGAGAGGUGUAGAAAACAAGAAGUUGGAAGAGCUUCUGAAGGGAAAGGGCAAUCUACUUGAGUAAAAUAUGGUGUUGUUUCCUUGCAAUCCAGUAAACAGUGAGCAUUGGUUCCUGGGAGUAGUACUUCCAAAAGAGAAGACCAUCGUUAUCAUUGACAGUUUGCCCCAGAAUUAUAUCAAGCCGACAGCAACUACGCAGGUAGACAAGAUGAUGUUUUUUCUUAAAGAAGUAGACAAGUCAAUCACCAUAGACCAGUGGUCUUUUUAUACCAAUAAGCCUUAUGAGAUUCCCCAACAGGUGAAUUCAUUUGACUUUGGUGUAUUUACUUGUAUAUAUGCAAGAUGUCUUGCAACCAAGUGAAAGAUGGUUACCCAGCAAGACAUCCCUGCAUACCGCAUACUGAUGGUUCAAGAGCUACACCAAAAAAGGCUUUCACCCAUCCCACUAUUGCCCAUUCAACAAGGGGAAUACUAUGCCGUAGAUUAUGUAAAGAACUUUUACAUUGGUCGAGUAUUGGAUGCCACUGCAACACAUGUCAACUUCAAGUUCCUGUACAAAGUCGGAGCAACCACUUUUCACUGGCCAAGAAGGGAAGAUGUGACCAAGGUUCACGUCUCAACCAUAUUUUAUUGUCCGAUGACUGUCCCUAGUUUUAUUAGUGGACCAUUUGCCAUUCCAGAACUUUCUGAUGUUGAGAAACUUUUCAAGCUUGUCAGUAGAUUCAAGAAAGUCUCCAAGUGACAUCAGACAACCUACUGUACUAUGAACACUCUUUAGCCGAUUAUAUCAUCCAUUCAGGAUAGGAAAUUGACUUUUUGGUGAUUGACACAUUUUGUUGUUCAAUAGGCAUUUAUGUAUCAAAACAGCCAAGUUUUUUUUGUUAGCCAAGCCUGUACAUUAACAAUGAUUUUCCUAUUCAAAAUUGAGACUUAAGAAGAAUGUUGAAACUGUAACGUCUGUGACUUGAAACUUUGGCUUCAUGUGGUCUUUGAAGGUUGUACACUGAUGUUUUAUAUCCAUAAUUGCGUAUCCCUAGUACCAAUAACUUACCAGCAGGAAGGAUCUUUUUAUUCUUCUAUUAGUUUUUCAAUUAAAGUAAAAAUAUGAACAAAAUGUCACGGACGUUAUGUAACGUCAAUGACAAAAAUUGGAAUCUCAAUAUUUAUUUAUUGGAAUAAUUUUGAUAAAAUAUUAAUUGAUACCAAAUUGUUUGAAGUAAAGUAUUUAUAGCCAUGUUUUUGUUUUUGGCUGAAAACAUUUUUCAAGCAUGAUUUUAUUGCUUGAAAUGUUCAAUGUGGCAAGUUGUUUUCUUGAUGAAUGAAGUACACCUAUGUACAUGUUUUAAGUGCCCCCCCCCCCCCCUGAGUACAGCGUUGUUCAACAUCAGCAAAAUUUUUUUUUACAAACUCCAAUAUGUAUAUAAUGCACUAGAGGCAAUAAUUCACUCUAAAUCACUGUGAAAAUUAUUUAUUUUAACACUUCUCAUGUGGAAUUGCCCAACUGCAGAUGCACAAAAAGCAUAUUUAAAGAAAUCUGAUCCUUAUAAGAAUGGUUUUCUUCAUGAAAAUAAUUGGGCAAAAUCGAAUAUGUCAAGUUUUACCAAUCUAUUCAAUAUAAAUUAUGUCAUUGUUGUAUUUGCAAAGAAGCAUGGUCACUGAAUGUUAAUGCUAGGUUGAGUAACCCUUAUGUUUGUGCACGAUGCUCCAAGGAUAAGCUAUGUCCAAAACAGUUUUCAGAACAAAAUUUUAUUAUUCCUAGUCAAAUACCAAAUGAAUUACAGGACUUAACUCAAAUACAAAAAAUGCUUAUUGCCCGUGCUCUCCCAAUCAUGAGAGUUUAUAUAAAACCAGGUGGGCAGAGAGGAUAUUCAGGGCAUUGUAUAAAUUUACCCCAAAAUGUAAAAGAGCUUGCGUCAACAUUGCCUAGAUUCCCUAAUGAAUUAUCUGUUGUAAUUCCGAAAGUUAAAGGUAAAGACAGUACAUUUAAAGAUGUGUAUGUUAGACGGCAGAAAGUAGCUAAAGCUCUAGAGUGGCUAAUGAUGCAACACAAUCCUCUUUAUAAGGACAUUCAAAUUAAUGAGACUGCUCUGUAUUCGUUGCCCCAUAAUGGUAUUCCCCCAGGAUUGGCAACAAAGUUAAACAUCUAUAUCCAUCGUUUCACUUUCAAUACAUUAAAAUACUUACUUGGAUAUGAGGCCAGUCACGUGAUGCAGUAUCUUUUUAUUUAUUCCAAUAAGCCUCAUAUCCAAAUAAAAUUUUACAAUUUGAUAUUGAAAGUGGCUUACUAUUAGAACCUGGAGUUUUAACCAUUUCAAGAAUGAGUUGUGUACAAUAAAUUCAUCAGCACUGUAGUUUAUAUUACCCACUGGUACCCGUACUUUAAAAUGAUAUACAAAUUCUCUCACUUACCCUUUUAAUGUGGUCUGAGCAGGUUAACCAGUGCCAUUUCUGACCAUUUAUGAACACCAACUACUUUUCAAAAAAGACAUUUUAUUGACACUAGAUCUUCUUUAAGGAACAAAUCAAGUUAGCCUAUCUCUAAUCCUCAGUUUAGCUUAAAACUUGUUAUGUAUGUCAAAAGCUUGUAUAAUGUUGCCAUUGAAUAAACUAUUCGUUGAAUUUCAAUCUUUUUUAGAAAUUUUCCUUACACCCCCUUUCAAUGCUGUCAUAAAUCUCAGAACAAUAAAACAACUCUUUUUCUUACAUAAUUCAACUGUUUCAUUUGAUGAUGAUAAUAUCGUUGCACUUCCCAUAAGCCAGGCAGCACUUCACUUUCUCAUAGAAAUUCCUAGUUUUUGUACUAUAAUUGCUUUGUAAAUAAUAUUCUCUUGCUAUACUUAGUUUAGAUAGCUAACUAUUUGUUAUACCUUGUAUUCAUAUUAACUGUAGUUUUGUAUUAUUGCUCGGAGUGAGCGUAGCGAACGGAAAGCAACACUAAUCUAGGUGGGCUAGGAUUUUUGCGGUUUGAUUUUGGGGUUUGGAUCGCGGUCAGGAGAAGCAGCGGUAGAGUGGUAUCGCGCAUGCGUGAGAUUUUUAAAUUGGAGUCACUUUGAGGUUUGAUUCGGGCUUGAUGGGACAUUUCCGGUUAUUACGAUCAUUAUAACUGUCACGUUCGGGAAAUUUCCGGUUAUUACGAACGGUGUUCGAUUGACAAAAUAGAGCCGAAGUUUAGCGUCCUUUUAGUCGGCGUGGUCGAUCUGACGAAUCCUUUCCCGGCGUUGCCGUGUUGCUAUUCACUGCUGUGUUCUCUCUUAGUUAUUGGGUAAGUAAAGACAUGCAUUUUCUUGAUUACAAUUGUAAAUUGAGAUUUAGCUUUCACAUCGUGUUGUUAGAAUUGUUUACAUCGAUUUUUUGCCUCCAAUAGGGAUUUUUUGCCGUGGUAAGUUGAGAAUUUGGUUGUCGAGCGGUGUCACAAUUUCAGUUUCCAUGCGCUUAGUGUUUAGUUGUCAGAAAGAACCAAAUACAAUUCAAUGGAUAGUGAUAUAGUUUAGGUUUGUAUAUAAUAACCGUUAAACUACAGAAUAAUCCCAAGUUCAGGUCUCAACGAUCUAUAGGUGAGCCGAUGGAAACUGAUUGAAACAUUGCGAUCACCGAUCAUUGGAAAUGGUCGAAAGCAAUGUAUUAGGUAAAUCGUGCUUGAAAUUCUACAGACUUGAAAAUAAAACUUUGCUUCAUUGUUUAUUAGAGUAAAAUAAGUAAGAGAUGUUAUAAACAAUUGAUUUAGUACAAUAUUUCGAAUUUAUUAACCCUUUCCUGCCUAGAUAGGGAAUUUUCCGUAUUUUGCUGCAUGAAAUUCUGCACGUUUCUCUCUUACAGCUCAAGUCAGCACAACGAAUCGUUCGUCAUAAAAUUUUUAUCCAAAGUUAAAACUUUUUCGCGGGUUCGAAAUCCAUCCACGACCACGGACCUUGCCUUUAGAUCAUGGACUUGACUCAUGAUAUUUUGGUUGAUUUUGAUAGCGAUUUAAAAGAGUUUUACGGCCUGGGAGAGAGAGAUUCACAAUCGGUAAACAACGAUGGCCGUGGGCUAAUUUCUAGCAGAAAAAUGUCGGUAUUUUGCGACCCAAAGACCAACUUUGGUACAGAACUGGUACUGCCAUUGAGGAACAAGAAGCUACUCCAUUUAUCGGACCGAAGAAUCAUCCAAAUAAUGACUUUGAACUUUGUUUUUUUUAUAUUUUCAUCAUUCUGAAUUGAUUUAAUUUCUUGUCAAUCGAACAAACUUGUUUGAGGCGCUUCUAAAUGGCAAAAAGAAAACGAAGAGAAAGAUUCUGAGUGGUUUGAGAGCAACAGCGAACGAUGCAGGAACUAGCGGUGAAUAAAUUCAGGCACCAUCUCGGUAUUUUUGUAAGUACUCAUGGCAUCGGACUAUUGCCAACAAUUCGCAAAUAUUUGAGUGAAAAAGACUUGUUUCUCGUCCAGUUGGAUAUUGCAAAACCAAUAGCAGCAAAUAAUACUUUCUUGCAAGCCUAUUUUGGCCGCAUCUGAACAACAAUGCAGAAAAUUCUUCCCAAUACCAUCUUGAAUUUGUUCAAUAUCACCACUCGUUCCGCUCGAUGAUGUUCUCAAAUCCUCGUGUUGUUGUGCUAUACUUGAUUUAUUCACAGAUUAUGGCCAAUUGUCAAUCAAUUAGACAGUCAUGAGCAAAAAUGGACAGUUGAGUUUUGUUCAAUCCAUGAAAUAAAGCCGCUAAAAUUUAGAAAUGAAAUGACGAUGCAAGCCGUGCUUUUAUUGCCGCCAUGUUGAUGCUGUAUUGUGUAGAAACUUUCUCAUAGAAAUUCCUAGUUUUUGUACUAUAAUUGCUUUGUAAAUAAUAUUCUCUUGCUAUACUUAGUUUAGAUAGCUAACUAUUUGUUAUACCUUGUAUUCAUAUUAACUGUAGUUUUGUAUUAUUGCUCGGAGUGAGCGUAGCGAACGGAGAGCAACACUAAUCUAGGUGGGCUAGGAUUUUUGCGGUUUGAUUUUGGGGUUUGGAUCGCGGUCAGGAGAAGCAGCGGUAGAGUGGUAUCGCGCAUGCGUGAGAUUUUUAUAUUGGAGUGACUUUGAGGUUUGAUUCGGGCUUGAUGGGACAUUUCCGGUUAUUACGAUCAUUAUAACUGUCACGUUCGGGAAAUUUCCGGUUAUUACGAACGGUGUUCGAGUAACAAAAUAGAGCCGAAGUUUAGCGUCCUUUUAGUCGGCGUGGUCGAUCUGACGAAUCCUUUCCCGGCGUUGCCGUGUUGCUAUUCACUGCUGUGUUCUCUCUUAGUUAUUGGGUAAGUAAAGACAUGCAUUUUCUUGAUUACAAUUGUAAAUUGAGAUUUAGCUUUCACAUCGUGUUGUUAGAAUUGUUUACAUCGAUUUUUUGCCUCCAAUAGGGAUUUUUUGCCGUGGUAAGUUGAGAAUUUGGUUGUCGAGCGGUGUCACAAUUUCAGUUUCCAUGCGCUUAGUGUUUAGUUGUCAGAAAGAACCAAAUACAAUUCAAUGGAUAGUGAUAUAGUUUAGGUUUGUAUAUAAUAACCGUUAAACUACAGAAUAAUCCCAAGUUCAGGUCUCAACGAUCUAUAGGUGAGCCGAUGGAAACUGAUUGAAACAUUGCGAUCACCGAUCAUUGGAAAUGGUCGAAAGCAAUGUAUUAGGUAAAUCGUGCUUGAAAUUCUACAGACUUGAAAAUAAAACUUUGCUUCAUUGUUUAUUAGAGUAAAAUAAGUAAGAGAUGUUAUAAACAAUUGAUUUAGUACAAUAUUUCGAAUUUAUUAACCCUUUCCUGCCUAGAUAGGGAAUUUUCCGUAUUUUGCUGCAUGAAAUUCUGCACGUUUCUCUCUUACAGCUCAAGUCAGCACAACGAAUCGUUCGUCAUAAAAUUUUUAUCCAAAGUUAAAACUUUUUCGCGGGUUCGAAAUCCAUCCACGACCACGGACCUUGCCUUUAGAUCAUGGACUUGACUCAUGAUAUUUUGGUUGAUUUUGAUAGCGAUAUAAAAGAGUUUUACGGCCUGGGAGAGAGAGAUUCACAAUCGGUAAACAACGAUGGCCGUGGGCUAAUUUCUAGCAGAAAAAUGUCGGUAUUUUGCGACCCAAAGACCAACUUUGGUACAGAACUGGUACUGCCAUUGAGGAACAAGAAGCUACUCCAUUUAUCGGACCGAAGAAUCAUCCAAAUAAUGACUUUGAACUUUGUUUUUUUUUAUAUUUUCAUCAUUCUGAAUUGAUUUAAUUUCUUGUCAAUCGAACAAACUUGUUUGAGGCGCUUCUAAAUGGCAAAAAGAAAACGAAGAGAAAGAUUCUGAGUGGUUUGAGAGCAACAGCGAACGAUGCAGAAACUAGCGGUGAAUAAAUUCAGCCACCAUCUCGGUAUUUUUGUAAGUACUCAUGGCAUCGGACUAUUGCCAACAAUUCGCAAAUAUUUGAGUGAAAAAGACUUGUUUCUCGUCCAGUUGGAUAUUGCAAAACCAAUAGCAGCAAAUAAUACUUUCUUGCAAGCCUAUUUUGGCCGCAUCUGAACAACAAUGCAGAAAAUUCUUCCCAAUAUCAUCUUGAAUUUGUUCAAUAGUCACCACUCGUUCCGCUCGAUGAUGUUCUCAAAUCCUCGUGUUGUUGUGCUAUACUUGAUUUAUUCACAGAUUAUGGCCAAUUGUCAAUCAAUUAGACAGUCAUGAGCAAAAAUGGACAGUUGAGUUUUGUUCAAUCCAUGAAAUAAAGCCGCUAAAAUUUAGAAAUGAAAUGACGAUGCAAGCCGUGCUUUUAUUGCCGCCAUGUUGAUGCUGUAUUGUGUAGAAACUUUCUCAUAGAAAUUCCUAGUUUUUGUACUAUAAUUGCUUUGUAAAUAAUAUUCUCUUGCUAUACUUAGUUUAGAUAGCUAACUAUUUGUUAUACCUUGUAUUCAUAUUAACUGUAGUUUUGUAUUAUUGCUCGGAGUGAGCGUAGCGAACGGAAAGCAACACUAAUCUAGGUGGGCUAGGAUUUUUGCGGUUUGAUUUUGGGGUUUGGAUCGCGGUCAGGAGAAGCAGCGGUAGAGUGGUAUCGCGCAUGCGUGAGAUUUUUAAAUUGGAGUCACUUUGAGGUUUGAUUCGGGCUUGAUGGGACAUUUCCGGUUAUUACGAUCAUUAUAACUGUCACGUUCGGGAAAUUUCCGGUUAUUACGAACGGUGUUCGAUUGACAAAAUAGAGCCGAAGUUUAGCGUCCUUUUAGUCGGCGUGGUCGAUCUGACGAAUCCUUUCCCGGCGUUGCCGUGUUGCUAUUCACUGCUGUGUUCUCUCUUAGUUAUUGGGUAAGUAAAGACAUGCAUUUUCUUGAUUACAAUUGUAAAUUGAGAUUUAGCUUUCACAUCGUGUUGUUAGAAUUGUUUACAUCGAUUUUUUGCCUCCAAUAGGGAUUUUUUGCCGUGGUAAGUUGAGAAUUUGGUUGUCGAGCGGUGUCACAAUUUCAGUUUCCAUGCGCUUAGUGUUUAGUUGUCAGAAAGAACCAAAUACAAUUCAAUGGAUAGUGAUAUAGUUUAGGUUUGUAUAUAAUAACCGUUAAACUACAGAAUAAUCCCAAGUUCAGGUCUCAACGAUCUAUAGGUGAGCCGAUGGAAACUGAUUGAAACAUUGCGAUCACCGAUCAUUGGAAAUGGUCGAAAGCAAUGUAUUAGGUAAAUCGUGCUUGAAAUUCUACAGACUUGAAAAUAAAACUUUGCUUCAUUGUUUAUUAGAGUAAAAUAAGUAAGAGAUGUUAUAAACAAUUGAUUUAGUACAAUAUUUCGAAUUUAUUAACCCUUUCCUGCCUAGAUAGGGAAUUUUCCGUAUUUUGCUGCAUGAAAUUCUGCACGUUUCUCUCUUACAGCUCAAGUCAGCACAACGAAUCGUUCGUCAUAAAAUUUUUAUCCAAAGUUAAAACUUUUUCGCGGGUUCGAAAUCCAUCCACGACCACGGACCUUGCCUUUAGAUCAUGGACUUGACUCAUGAUAUUUUGGUUGAUUUUGAUAGCGAUAUAAAAGAGUUUUACGGCCUGGGAGAGAGAGAUUCACAAUCGGUAAACAACGAUGGCCGUGGGCUAAUUUCUAGCAGAAAAAUGUCGGUAUUUUGCGACCCAAAGACCAACUUUGGUACAGAACUGGUACUGCCAUUGAGGAACAAGAAGCUACUCCAUUUAUCGGACCGAAGAAUCAUCCAAAUAAUGACUUUGAACUUUGUUUUUUUUUAUAUUUUCAUCAUUCUGAAUUGAUUUAAUUUCUUGUCAAUCGAACAAACUUGUUUGAGGCGCUUCUAAAUGGCAAAAAGAAAACGAAGAGAAAGAUUCUGAGUGGUUUGAGAGCAACAGCGAACGAUGCAGAAACUAGCGGUGAAUAAAUUCAGCCACCAUCUCGGUAUUUUUGUAAGUACUCAUGGCAUCGGACUAUUGCCAACAAUUCGCAAAUAUUUGAGUGAAAAAGACUUGUUUCUCGUCCAGUUGGAUAUUGCAAAACCAAUAGCAGCAAAUAAUACUUUCUUGCAAGCCUAUUUUGGCCGCAUCUGAACAACAAUGCAGAAAAUUCUUCCCAAUAUCAUCUUGAAUUUGUUCAAUAGUCACCACUCGUUCCGCUCGAUGAUGUUCUCAAAUCCUCGUGUUGUUGUGCUAUACUUGAUUUAUUCACAGAUUAUGGCCAAUUGUCAAUCAAUUAGACAGUCAUGAGCAAAAAUGGACAGUUAAGUUUUGUUCAAUCCAUGAAAUAAAGCCGCUAAAAUUUAGAAAUGAAAUGACGAUGCAAGCCGUGCUUUUAUUGCCGCCAUGUUGAUGCUGUAUUGUGUAGAAACUUUCUCAUAGAAAUUCCUAGUUUUUGUACUAUAAUUGCUUUGUAAAUAAUAUUCUCUUGCUAUACUUAGUUUAGAUAGCUAACUAUUUGUUAUACCUUGUAUUCAUAUUAACUGUAGUUUUGUAUUAUUGCUCGGAGUGAGCGUAGCGAACGGAAAGCAACACUAAUCUAGGUGGGCUAGGAUUUUUGCGGUUUGAUUUUGGGGUUUGGAUCGCGGUCAGGAGAAGCAGCGGUAGAGUGGUAUCGCGCAUGCGUGAGAUUUUUAAAUUGGAGUCACUUUGAGGUUUGAUUCGGGCUUGAUGGGACAUUUCCGGUUAUUACGAUCAUUAUAACUGUCACGUUCGGGAAAUUUCCGGUUAUUACGAACGGUGUUCGAUUGACAAAAUAGAGCCGAAGUUUAGCGUCCUUUUAGUCGGCGUGGUCGAUCUGACGAAUCCUUUCCCGGCGUUGCCGUGUUGCUAUUCACUGCUGUGUUCUCUCUUAGUUAUUGGGUAAGUAAAGACAUGCAUUUUCUUGAUUACAAUUGUAAAUUGAGAUUUAGCUUUCACAUCGUGUUGUUAGAAUUGUUUACAUCGAUUUUUUGCCUCCAAUAGGGAUUUUUUGCCGUGGUAAGUUGAGAAUUUGGUUGUCGAGCGGUGUCACAAUUUCAGUUUCCAUGCGCUUAGUGUUUAGUUGUCAGAAAGAACCAAAUACAAUUCAAUGGAUAGUGAUAUAGUUUAGGUUUGUAUAUAAUAACCGUUAAACUACAGAAUAAUCCCAAGUUCAGGUCUCAACGAUCUAUAGGUGAGCCGAUGGAAACUGAUUGAAACAUUGCGAUCACCGAUCAUUGGAAAUGGUCGAAAGCAAUGUAUUAGGUAAAUCGUGCUUGAAAUUCUACAGACUUGAAAAUAAAACUUUGCUUCAUUGUUUAUUAGAGUAAAAUAAGUAAGAGAUGUUAUAAACAAUUGAUUUAGUACAAUAUUUCGAAUUUAUUAACCCUUUCCUGCCUAGAUAGGGAAUUUUCCGUAUUUUGCUGCAUGAAAUUCUGCACGUUUCUCUCUUACAGCUCAAGUCAGCACAACGAAUCGUUCGUCAUAAAAUUUUUAUCCAAAGUUAAAACUUUUUCGCGGGUUCGAAAUCCAUCCACGACCACGGACCUUGCCUUUAGAUCAUGGACUUGACUCAUGAUAUUUUGGUUGAUUUUGAUAGCGAUUUAAAAGAGUUUUACGGCCUGGGAGAGAGAGAUUCACAAUCGGUAAACAACGAUGGCCGUGGGCUAAUUUCUAGCAGAAAAAUGUCGGUAUUUUGCGACCCAAAGACCAACUUUGGUACAGAACUGGUACUGCCAUUGAGGAACAAGAAGCUACUCCAUUUAUCGGACCGAAGAAUCAUCCAAAUAAUGACUUUGAACUUUGUUUUUUUUAUAUUUUCAUCAUUCUGAAUUGAUUUAAUUUCUUGUCAAUCGAACAAACUUGUUUGAGGCGCUUCUAAAUGGCAAAAAGAAAACGAAGAGAAAGAUUCUGAGUGGUUUGAGAGCAACAGCGAACGAUGCAGGAACUAGCGGUGAAUAAAUUCAGCCACCAUCUCGGUAUUUUUGUAAGUACUCAUGGCAUCGGACUAUUGCCAACAAUUCGCAAAUAUUUGAGUGAAAAAGACUUGUUUCUCGUCCAGUUGGAUAUUGCAAAACCAAUAGCAGCAAAUAAUACUUUCUUGCAAGCCUAUUUUGGCCGCAUCUGAACAACAAUGCAGAAAAUUCUUCCCAAUAUCAUCUUGAAUUUGUUCAAUAGUCACCACUCGUUCCGCUCGAUGAUGUUCUCAAAUCCUCGUGUUGUUGUGCUAUACUUGAUUUAUUCACAGAUUAUGGCCAAUUGUCAAUCAAUUAGACAGUCAUGAGCAAAAAUGGACAGUUGAGUUUUGUUCAAUCCAUGAAAUAAAGCCGCUAAAAUUUAGAAAUGAAAUGACGAUGCAAGCCGUGCUUUUAUUGCCGCCAUGUUGAUGCUGUAUUGUGUAGAAACUUUCUCAUAGAAAUUCCUAGUUUUUGUACUAUAAUUGCUUUGUAAAUAAUAUUCUCUUGCUAUACUUAGUUUAGAUAGCUAACUAUUUGUUAUACCUUGUAUUCAUAUUAACUGUAGUUUUGUAUUAUUGCUCGGAGUGAGCGUAGCGAACGGAGAGCAACACUAAUCUAGGUGGGCUAGGAUUUUUGCGGUUUGAUUUUGGGGUUUGGAUCGCGGUCAGGAGAAGCAGCGGUAGAGUGGUAUCGCGCAUGCGUGAGAUUUUUAUAUUGGAGUGACUUUGAGGUUUGAUUCGGGCUUGAUGGGACAUUUCCGGUUAUUACGAUCAUUAUAACUGUCACGUUCGGGAAAUUUCCGGUUAUUACGAACGGUGUUCGAGUAACAAAAUAGAGCCGAAGUUUAGCGUCCUUUUAGUCGGCGUGGUCGAUCUGACGAAUCCUUUCCCGGCGUUGCCGUGUUGCUAUUCACUGCUGUGUUCUCUCUUAGUUAUUGGGUAAGUAAAGACAUGCAUUUUCUUGAUUACAAUUGUAAAUUGAGAUUUAGCUUUCACAUCGUGUUGUUAGAAUUGUUUACAUCGAUUUUUUGCCUCCAAUAGGGAUUUUUUGCCGUGGUAAGUUGAGAAUUUGGUUGUCGAGCGGUGUCACAAUUUCAGUUUCCAUGCGCUUAGUGUUUAGUUGUCAGAAAGAACCAAAUACAAUUCAAUGGAUAGUGAUAUAGUUUAGGUUUGUAUAUAAUAACCGUUAAACUACAGAAUAAUCCCAAGUUCAGGUCUCAACGAUCUAUAGGUGAGCCGGUGGAAACUGAUUGAAACAUUGCGAUCACCGAUCAUUGGAAAUGGUCGAAAGCAAUGUAUUAGGUAAAUCGUGCUUGAAAUUCUACAGACUUGAAAAUAAAACUUUGCUUCAUUGUUUAUUAGAGUAAAAUAAGUAAGAGAUGUUAUAAACAAUUGAUUUAGUACAAUAUUUCGAAUUUAUUAACCCUUUCCUGCCUAGAUAGGGAAUUUUCCGUAUUUUGCUGCAUGAAAUUCUGCACGUUUCUCUCUUACAGCUCAAGUCAGCACAACGAAUCGUUCGUCAUAAAAUUUUUAUCCAAAGUUAAAACUUUUUCGCGGGUUCGAAAUCCAUCCACGACCACGGACCUUGCCUUUAGAUCAUGGACUUGACUCAUGAUAUUUUGGUUGAUUUUGAUAGCGAUAUAAAAGAGUUUUACGGCCUGGGAGAGAGAGAUUCACAAUCGGUAAACAACGAUGGCCGUGGGCUAAUUUCUAGCAGAAAAAUGUCGGUAUUUUGCGACCCAAAGACCAACUUUGGUACAGAACUGGUACUGCCAUUGAGGAACAAGAAGCUACUCCAUUUAUCGGACCGAAGAAUCAUCCAAAUAAUGACUUUGAACUUUGUUUUUUUUUUAUAUUUUCAUCAUUCUGAAUUGAUUUAAUUUCUUGUCAAUCGAACAAACUUGUUUGAGGCGCUUCUAAAUGGCAAAAAGAAAACGAAGAGAAAGAUUCUGAGUGGUUUGAGAGCAACAGCGAACGAUGCAGAAACUAGCGGUGAAUAAAUUCAGCCACCAUCUCGGUAUUUUUGUAAGUACUCAUGGCAUCGGACUAUUGCCAACAAUUCGCAAAUAUUUGAGUGAAAAAGACUUGUUUCUCGUCCAGUUGGAUAUUGCAAAACCAAUAGCAGCAAAUAAUACUUUCUUGCAAGCCUAUUUUGGCCGCAUCUGAACAACAAUGCAGAAAAUUCUUCCCAAUAUCAUCUUGAAUUUGUUCAAUAGUCACCACUCGUUCCGCUCGAUGAUGUUCUCAAAUCCUCGUGUUGUUGUGCUAUACUUGAUUUAUUCACAGAUUAUGGCCAAUUGUCAAUCAAUUAGACAGUCAUGAGCAAAAAUGGACAGUUGAGUUUUGUUCAAUCCAUGAAAUAAAGCCGCUAAAAUUUAGAAAUGAAAUGACGAUGCAAGCCGUGCUUUUAUUGCCGCCAUGUUGAUGCUGUAUUGUGUAGAAACUUUCUCAUAGAAAUUCCUAGUUUUUGUACUAUAAUUGCUUUGUAAAUAAUAUUCUCUUGCUAUACUUAGUUUAGAUAGCUAACUAUUUGUUAUACCUUGUAUUCAUAUUAACUGUAGUUUUGUAUUAUUGCUCGGAGUGAGCGUAGCGAACGGAAAGCAACACUAAUCUAGGUGGGCUAGGAUUUUUGCGGUUUGAUUUUGGGGUUUGGAUCGCGGUCAGGAGAAGCAGCGGUAGAGUGGUAUCGCGCAUGCGUGAGAUUUUUAAAUUGGAGUCACUUUGAGGUUUGAUUCGGGCUUGAUGGGACAUUUCCGGUUAUUACGAUCAUUAUAACUGUCACGUUCGGGAAAUUUCCGGUUAUUACGAACGGUGUUCGAUUGACAAAAUAGAGCCGAAGUUUAGCGUCCUUUUAGUCGGCGUGGUCGAUCUGACGAAUCCUUUCCCGGCGUUGCCGUGUUGCUAUUCACUGCUGUGUUCUCUCUUAGUUAUUGGGUAAGUAAAGACAUGCAUUUUCUUGAUUACAAUUGUAAAUUGAGAUUUAGCUUUCACAUCGUGUUGUUAGAAUUGUUUACAUCGAUUUUUUGCCUCCAAUAGGGAUUUUUUGCCGUGGUAAGUUGAGAAUUUGGUUGUCGAGCGGUGUCACAAUUUCAGUUUCCAUGCGCUUAGUGUUUAGUUGUCAGAAAGAACCAAAUACAAUUCAAUGGAUAGUGAUAUAGUUUAGGUUUGUAUAUAAUAACCGUUAAACUACAGAAUAAUCCCAAGUUCAGGUCUCAACGAUCUAUAGGUGAGCCGAUGGAAACUGAUUGAAACAUUGCGAUCACCGAUCAUUGGAAAUGGUCGAAAGCAAUGUAUUAGGUAAAUCGUGCUUGAAAUUCUACAGACUUGAAAAUAAAACUUUGCUUCAUUGUUUAUUAGAGUAAAAUAAGUAAGAGAUGUUAUAAACAAUUGAUUUAGUACAAUAUUUCGAAUUUAUUAACCCUUUCCUGCCUAGAUAGGGAAUUUUCCGUAUUUUGCUGCAUGAAAUUCUGCACGUUUCUCUCUUACAGCUCAAGUCAGCACAACGAAUCGUUCGUCAUAAAAUUUUUAUCCAAAGUUAAAACUUUUUCGCGGGUUCGAAAUCCAUCCACGACCACGGACCUUGCCUUUAGAUCAUGGACUUGACUCAUGAUAUUUUGGUUGAUUUUGAUAGCGAUAUAAAAGAGUUUUACGGCCUGGGAGAGAGAGAUUCACAAUCGGUAAACAACGAUGGCCGUGGGCUAAUUUCUAGCAGAAAAAUGUCGGUAUUUUGCGACCCAAAGACCAACUUUGGUACAGAACUGGUACUGCCAUUGAGGAACAAGAAGCUACUCCAUUUAUCGGACCGAAGAAUCAUCCAAAUAAUGACUUUGAACUUUGUUUUUUUUUAUAUUUUCAUCAUUCUGAAUUGAUUUAAUUUCUUGUCAAUCGAACAAACUUGUUUGAGGCGCUUCUAAAUGGCAAAAAGAAAACGAAGAGAAAGAUUCUGAGUGGUUUGAGAGCAACAGCGAACGAUGCAGAAACUAGCGGUGAAUAAAUUCAGCCACCAUCUCGGUAUUUUUGUAAGUACUCAUGGCAUCGGACUAUUGCCAACAAUUCGCAAAUAUUUGAGUGAAAAAGACUUGUUUCUCGUCCAGUUGGAUAUUGCAAAACCAAUAGCAGCAAAUAAUACUUUCUUGCAAGCCUAUUUUGGCCGCAUCUGAACAACAAUGCAGAAAAUUCUUCCCAAUAUCAUCUUGAAUUUGUUCAAUAGUCACCACUCGUUCCGCUCGAUGAUGUUCUCAAAUCCUCGUGUUGUUGUGCUAUACUUGAUUUAUUCACAGAUUAUGGCCAAUUGUCAAUCAAUUAGACAGUCAUGAGCAAAAAUGGACAGUUGAGUUUUGUUCAAUCCAUGAAAUAAAGCCGCUAAAAUUUAGAAAUGAAAUGACGAUGCAAGCCGUGCUUUUAUUGCCGCCAUGUUGAUGCUGUAUUGUGUAGAAACUUUCUCAUAGAAAUUCCUAGUUUUUGUACUAUAAUUGCUUUGUAAAUAAUAUUCUCUUGCUAUACUUAGUUUAGAUAGCUAACUAUUUGUUAUACCUUGUAUUCAUAUUAACUGUAGUUUUGUAUUAUUGCUCGGAGUGAGCGUAGCGAACGGAAAGCAACACUAAUCUAGGUGGGCUAGGAUUUUUGCGGUUUGAUUUUGGGGUUUGGAUCGCGGUCAGGAGAAGCAGCGGUAGAGUGGUAUCGCGCAUGCGUGAGAUUUUUAAAUUGGAGUCACUUUGAGGUUUGAUUCGGGCUUGAUGGGACAUUUCCGGUUAUUACGAUCAUUAUAACUGUCACGUUCGGGAAAUUUCCGGUUAUUACGAACGGUGUUCGAUUGACAAAAUAGAGCCGAAGUUUAGCGUCCUUUUAGUCGGCGUGGUCGAUCUGACGAAUCCUUUCCCGGCGUUGCCGUGUUGCUAUUCACUGCUGUGUUCUCUCUUAGUUAUUGGGUAAGUAAAGACAUGCAUUUUCUUGAUUACAAUUGUAAAUUGAGAUUUAGCUUUCACAUCGUGUUGUUAGAAUUGUUUACAUCGAUUUUUUGCCUCCAAUAGGGAUUUUUUGCCGUUUUAAGUUGAGAAUUUGGUUGUCGAGCGGUGUCACAAUUUCAGUUUCCAUGCGCUUAGUGUUUAGUUGUCAGAAAGAACCAAAUACAAUUCAAUGGAUAGUGAUAUAGUUUAGGUUUGUAUAUAAUAACCGUUAAACUACAGAAUAAUCCCAAGUUCAGGUCUCAACGAUCUAUAGGUGAGCCGAUGGAAACUGAUUGAAACAUUGCGAUCACCGAUCAUUGGAAAUGGUCGAAAGCAAUGUAUUAGGUAAAUCGUGCUUGAAAUUCUACAGACUUGAAAAUAAAACUUUGCUUCAUUGUUUAUUAGAGUAAAAUAAGUAAGAGAUGUUAUAAACAAUUGAUUUAGUACAAUAUUUCGAAUUUAUUAACCCUUUCCUGCCUAGAUAGGGAAUUUUCCGUAUUUUGCUGCAUGAAAUUCUGCACGUUUCUCUCUUACAGCUCAAGUCAGCACAACGAAUCGUUCGUCAUAAAAUUUUUAUCCAAAGUUAAAACUUUUUCGCGGGUUCGAAAUCCAUCCACGACCACGGACCUUGCCUUUAGAUCAUGGACUUGACUCAUGAUAUUUUGGUUGAUUUUGAUAGCGAUAUAAAAGAGUUUUACGGCCUGGGAGAGAGAGAUUCACAAUCGGUAAACAACGAUGGCCGUGGGCUAAUUUCUAGCAGAAAAAUGUCGGUAUUUUGCGACCCAAAGACCAACUUUGGUACAGAACUGGUACUGCCAUUGAGGAACAAGAAGCUACUCCAUUUAUCGGACCGAAGAAUCAUCCAAAUAAUGACUUUGAACUUUGUUUUUUUUUAUAUUUUCAUCAUUCUGAAUUGAUUUAAUUUCUUGUCAAUCGAACAAACUUGUUUGAGGCGCUUCUAAAUGGCAAAAAGAAAACGAAGAGAAAGAUUCUGAGUGGUUUGAGAGCAACAGCGAACGAUGCAGAAACUAGCGGUGAAUAAAUUCAGCCACCAUCUCGGUAUUUUUGUAAGUACUCAUGGCAUCGGACUAUUGCCAACAAUUCGCAAAUAUUUGAGUGAAAAAGACUUGUUUCUCGUCCAGUUGGAUAUUGCAAAACCAAUAGCAGCAAAUAAUACUUUCUUGCAAGCCUAUUUUGGCCGCAUCUGAACAACAAUGCAGAAAAUUCUUCCCAAUAUCAUCUUGAAUUUGUUCAAUAGUCACCACUCGUUCCGCUCGAUGAUGUUCUCAAAUCCUCGUGUUGUUGUGCUAUACUUGAUUUAUUCACAGAUUAUGGCCAAUUGUCAAUCAAUUAGACAGUCAUGAGCAAAAAUGGACAGUUGAGUUUUGUUCAAUCCAUGAAAUAAAGCCGCUAAAAUUUAGAAAUGAAAUGACGAUGCAAGCCGUGCUUUUAUUGCCGCCAUGUUGAUGCUGUAUUGUGUAGAAACUUUCUCAUAGAAAUUCCUAGUUUUUGUACUAUAAUUGCUUUGUAAAUAAUAUUCUCUUGCUAUACUUAGUUUAGAUAGCUAACUAUUUGUUAUACCUUGUAUUCAUAUUAACUGUAGUUUUGUAUUAUUGCUCGGAGUGAGCGUAGCGAACGGAAAGCAACACUAAUCUAGGUGGGCUAGGAUUUUUGCGGUUUGAUUUUGGGGUUUGGAUCGCGGUCAGGAGAAGCAGCGGUAGAGUGGUAUCGCGCAUGCGUGAGAUUUUUAAAUUGGAGUCACUUUGAGGUUUGAUUCGGGCUUGAUGGGACAUUUCCGGUUAUUACGAUCAUUAUAACUGUCACGUUCGGGAAAUUUCCGGUUAUUACGAACGGUGUUCGAUUGACAAAAUAGAGCCGAAGUUUAGCGUCCUUUUAGUCGGCGUGGUCGAUCUGACGAAUCCUUUCCCGGCGUUGCCGUGUUGCUAUUCACUGCUGUGUUCUCUCUUAGUUAUUGGGUAAGUAAAGACAUGCAUUUUCUUGAUUACAAUUGUAAAUUGAGAUUUAGCUUUCACAUCGUGUUGUUAGAAUUGUUUACAUCGAUUUUUUGCCUCCAAUAGGGAUUUUUUGCCGUGGUAAGUUGAGAAUUUGGUUGUCGAGCGGUGUCACAAUUUCAGUUUCCAUGCGCUUAGUGUUUAGUUGUCAGAAAGAACCAAAUACAAUUCAAUGGAUAGUGAUAUAGUUUAGGUUUGUAUAUAAUAACCGUUAAACUACAGAAUAAUCCCAAGUUCAGGUCUCAACGAUCUAUAGGUGAGCCGAUGGAAACUGAUUGAAACAUUGCGAUCACCGAUCAUUGGAAAUGGUCGAAAGCAAUGUAUUAGGUAAAUCGUGCUUGAAAUUCUACAGACUUGAAAAUAAAACUUUGCUUCAUUGUUUAUUAGAGUAAAAUAAGUAAGAGAUGUUAUAAACAAUUGAUUUAGUACAAUAUUUCGAAUUUAUUAACCCUUUCCUGCCUAGAUAGGGAAUUUUCCGUAUUUUGCUGCAUGAAAUUCUGCACGUUUCUCUCUUACAGCUCAAGUCAGCACAACGAAUCGUUCGUCAUAAAAUUUUUAUCCAAAGUUAAAACUUUUUCGCGGGUUCGAAAUCCAUCCACGACCACGGACCUUGCCUUUAGAUCAUGGACUUGACUCAUGAUAUUUUGGUUGAUUUUGAUAGCGAUUUAAAAGAGUUUUACGGCCUGGGAGAGAGAGAUUCACAAUCGGUAAACAACGAUGGCCGUGGGCUAAUUUCUAGCAGAAAAAUGUCGGUAUUUUGCGACCCAAAGACCAACUUUGGUACAGAACUGGUACUGCCAUUGAGGAACAAGAAGCUACUCCAUUUAUCGGACCGAAGAAUCAUCCAAAUAAUGACUUUGAACUUUGUUUUUUUUAUAUUUUCAUCAUUCUGAAUUGAUUUAAUUUCUUGUCAAUCGAACAAACUUGUUUGAGGCGCUUCUAAAUGGCAAAAAGAAAACGAAGAGAAAGAUUCUGAGUGGUUUGAGAGCAACAGCGAACGAUGCAGGAACUAGCGGUGAAUAAAUUCAGCCACCAUCUCGGUAUUUUUGUAAGUACUCAUGGCAUCGGACUAUUGCCAACAAUUCGCAAAUAUUUGAGUGAAAAAGACUUGUUUCUCGUCCAGUUGGAUAUUGCAAAACCAAUAGCAGCAAAUAAUACUUUCUUGCAAGCCUAUUUUGGCCGCAUCUGAACAACAAUGCAGAAAAUUCUUCCCAAUAUCAUCUUGAAUUUGUUCAAUAGUCACCACUCGUUCCGCUCGAUGAUGUUCUCAAAUCCUCGUGUUGUUGUGCUAUACUUGAUUUAUUCACAGAUUAUGGCCAAUUGUCAAUCAAUUAGACAGUCAUGAGCAAAAAUGGACAGUUGAGUUUUGUUCAAUCCAUGAAAUAAAGCCGCUAAAAUUUAGAAAUGAAAUGACGAUGCAAGCCGUGCUUUUAUUGCCGCCAUGUUGAUGCUGUAUUGUGUAGAAACUUUCUCAUAGAAAUUCCUAGUUUUUGUACUAUAAUUGCUUUGUAAAUAAUAUUCUCUUGCUAUACUUAGUUUAGAUAGCUAACUAUUUGUUAUACCUUGUAUUCAUAUUAACUGUAGUUUUGUAUUAUUGCUCGGAGUGAGCGUAGCGAACGGAGAGCAACACUAAUCUAGGUGGGCUAGGAUUUUUGCGGUUUGAUUUUGGGGUUUGGAUCGCGGUCAGGAGAAGCAGCGGUAGAGUGGUAUCGCGCAUGCGUGAGAUUUUUAUAUUGGAGUGACUUUGAGGUUUGAUUCGGGCUUGAUGGGACAUUUCCGGUUAUUACGAUCAUUAUAACUGUCACGUUCGGGAAAUUUCCGGUUAUUACGAACGGUGUUCGAGUAACAAAAUAGAGCCGAAGUUUAGCGUCCUUUUAGUCGGCGUGGUCGAUCUGACGAAUCCUUUCCCGGCGUUGCCGUGUUGCUAUUCACUGCUGUGUUCUCUCUUAGUUAUUGGGUAAGUAAAGACAUGCAUUUUCUUGAUUACAAUUGUAAAUUGAGAUUUAGCUUUCACAUCGUGUUGUUAGAAUUGUUUACAUCGAUUUUUUGCCUCCAAUAGGGAUUUUUUGCCGUGGUAAGUUGAGAAUUUGGUUGUCGAGCGGUGUCACAAUUUCAGUUUCCAUGCGCUUAGUGUUUAGUUGUCAGAAAGAACCAAAUACAAUUCAAUGGAUAGUGAUAUAGUUUAGGUUUGUAUAUAAUAACCGUUAAACUACAGAAUAAUCCCAAGUUCAGGUCUCAACGAUCUAUAGGUGAGCCGGUGGAAACUGAUUGAAACAUUGCGAUCACCGAUCAUUGGAAAUGGUCGAAAGCAAUGUAUUAGGUAAAUCGUGCUUGAAAUUCUACAGACUUGAAAAUAAAACUUUGCUUCAUUGUUUAUUAGAGUAAAAUAAGUAAGAGAUGUUAUAAACAAUUGAUUUAGUACAAUAUUUCGAAUUUAUUAACCCUUUCCUGCCUAGAUAGGGAAUUUUCCGUAUUUUGCUGCAUGAAAUUCUGCACGUUUCUCUCUUACAGCUCAAGUCAGCACAACGAAUCGUUCGUCAUAAAAUUUUUAUCCAAAGUUAAAACUUUUUCGCGGGUUCGAAAUCCAUCCACGACCACGGACCUUGCCUUUAGAUCAUGGACUUGACUCAUGAUAUUUUGGUUGAUUUUGAUAGCGAUAUAAAAGAGUUUUACGGCCUGGGAGAGAGAGAUUCACAAUCGGUAAACAACGAUGGCCGUGGGCUAAUUUCUAGCAGAAAAAUGUCGGUAUUUUGCGACCCAAAGACCAACUUUGGUACAGAACUGGUACUGCCAUUGAGGAACAAGAAGCUACUCCAUUUAUCGGACCGAAGAAUCAUCCAAAUAAUGACUUUGAACUUUGUUUUUUUUUUAUAUUUUCAUCAUUCUGAAUUGAUUUAAUUUCUUGUCAAUCGAACAAACUUGUUUGAGGCGCUUCUAAAUGGCAAAAAGAAAACGAAGAGAAAGAUUCUGAGUGGUUUGAGAGCAACAGCGAACGAUGCAGAAACUAGCGGUGAAUAAAUUCAGCCACCAUCUCGGUAUUUUUGUAAGUACUCAUGGCAUCGGACUAUUGCCAACAAUUCGCAAAUAUUUGAGUGAAAAAGACUUGUUUCUCGUCCAGUUGGAUAUUGCAAAACCAAUAGCAGCAAAUAAUACUUUCUUGCAAGCCUAUUUUGGCCGCAUCUGAACAACAAUGCAGAAAAUUCUUCCCAAUAUCAUCUUGAAUUUGUUCAAUAGUCACCACUCGUUCCGCUCGAUGAUGUUCUCAAAUCCUCGUGUUGUUGUGCUAUACUUGAUUUAUUCACAGAUUAUGGCCAAUUGUCAAUCAAUUAGACAGUCAUGAGCAAAAAUGGACAGUUGAGUUUUGUUCAAUCCAUGAAAUAAAGCCGCUAAAAUUUAGAAAUGAAA